UGGCGGACGGGUGAGUAAUGUCUGGGAAACUGCCCGAUGGAGGGGGAUAACUACUGGAAACGGUAACUAAUACCGCAUAACGUCGCAAGACCAAAGAGGGGGACCUUCGGGCCUCUUGCCAUCGGAUGUGCCCAGAUGGGAUUAGCUAGUAGGUGGGGUAACGGCUCACCUAGGCGACGAUCCCUAGCUGGUCUGAGAGGAUGACCAGCCACACUGGAACUGAGACACGGUCCAG
rnacentral:rRNA from 1 species